rnacentral:rRNA from 1 species
GAUGAACGCUGGCGGCGUGCCUUAGGCAUGCAAGUCGAACGGCUCUUCGGAGCAGUGGCGGAAGGGUGAGUAACGCGUGGGAACGUACCAUUUGGUGGGGGAUAGCUCUCCGAAAGGAGGGGUAAUCCCGCAUAAGCCCGUAAGGGGAAAGAUUUAUCGCCGAAUGAGCGGCCCGCGUCCUAUCAGCUUGUUGGUGAGGUAAUGGCUCACCAAGGCGAUGACGGGUAGCUGGGCNGAGAGGUCGGCCAGCCACAAGGGAACUGAGACACGGUCCCUACAUCUACGGAUGGCAGCAACCGGGAAUCUUGGACAAUGGGGGAAACCCUGAUCCAGCGACGCCGCGUGGGGGAAGAAGGCC